rnacentral:rRNA from 1 species
AAUUAUACAGCGAAACUGCGAAUGGCUCAUUAUAUAAGUUAUCGUUUAUUUGAUAGUACCUUACUACUUGGAUAACCGUGGUAAUUCUAGAGCUAAUACAUGCUAAAAAUCCCGACUUACGAAGGGAUGUAUUUAUUAGAUUAAAAACCAAUGCCCUUCGGGGCUCACUGGUGAUUCAUAAUAACUUCUCGAAUCGCAUGGCCUUGCGCCGGCGAUGGUUCAUUCAAAUUUCUUCCCUAUCAACUUUCGAUGCUAGAGUAGUGUUCUAGCAUGGUUACAACGGGUAACGGAGGGUUAGGGCUCGACCCCGGAGAAGGAGCCUGAGAAACGGCUACUACAUCCAAGGAAGGCAGCAGGCGCGCAAAUUACCCAAUCCCGACACGGGGAGGUAGUGACGAUAAAUACUGAUACAGGGCUCUUUUGGGUCUUGUAAUUGGAAUGAGUACAAUUUAAAUCCCUUAACGAGGAACAAUUGGAGGGCAAGUCUGGUGCCAGCAGCCGCGGUAAUUCCAGCUCCAAUAGCGUAUAUUAAAGUUGUUGUGGUUAAAAAGCUCGUAGUAGAACCUUGGGCCUGGCUGGCCGGUCCGCCUCACCGCGUGCACUGGUCCGGCCGGGCCUUUCCCCCUGUGGAACCUCAUGCCCUUCACUGGGUGUGUGGGAAAACAGGACUUUUACUUUGAAAAAAUUAGAGUGCUCCAGGCAGGCCUAUGCUCGAAUACAUUAGCAUGGAAUAAUAGAAUAGGACGUGUGGUUCUAUUUUGUUGGUUUCUAGGACCGCCGUAAUGAUUAAUAGGGACAGUCGGGGGCAUCAGUAUUCAAUUGUCAGAGGUGAAAUUCUUGGAUUUAUUGAAGACUAACUACUGCGAAAGCAUUUGCCAAGGAUGUUUUCAUUUAUCAGGAACGAAAGUUAGGGGAUCGAAAACAAUCAGAUACCGUCGUAAUCUUAACCAUAAACUAUGCCGACUAGGGAUCGGACGAAGUUAUUUUUUGACUCGUUCGGCACCUUACAAGAAAUCAAAGGGCUUGGGCUCCAGGGGGA